GAUUUCACCAAGUGUUAAUGAACUGGAAAAAAACCUGGGUCAGGAGCCAGGAUUUUGCCAACUUUUUGUAAUAACGGUGUUUAAUUUCCAGUCUGUGCAAGAUUUGGCUUGGACAAUGAUGCUCAUCUGGCCCUGAUGACACUCACUGGAAUUUCAGCGCUAUGACCUGCUGCAAAUACUAUGCAGACAAAAAGGCCCAUAUAUUACACAUGUACCUCUUUAUGACUGCUCUGGACCCCCCU
rnacentral:lncRNA from 1 species